UACGUAGGGGGCAAGCGUUACUCGGAAUCACUGGGCGUAAAGCGCAGGUAGGCGGCUUGGUAAGUCUUUUGUGAAAGCUCCCGGCUCAACUGGGAGAGGUCAAUGGAAACUACCGGGCUAGAGUGUGGUAGGGGAUAGUGGAAUUCCUGGUGUAGCGGUGAAAUGCGUAGAUAUCAGGAGGAAUACCUAUGGCGAAAGCAGGGACCUGGGCCGUCACUGACGCUCAGCUGCGAAAGCUAGGGGAGCAAACAGG
rnacentral:rRNA from 1 species